AACGAACGCUGGCGGCAUGCCUAACACAUGCAAGUCGAACGAGACCUCCGGGUCUAGUGGCGCACGCGUGCGUAACGCGGGGGAACCUUCCCGUAGGUUCGGAAUAACUCCCCGACAGGGGUGCUAAUAUCGGAUAAUGUCUUCGGACCAAAGAUUUAUCGCCUUUGGAUGGGCCCGCGUUGGUUUAGCUUGUUGGUAGGGUAAAAGCCUACCAAGGAGACGAUCCAUAGCUGGUCUGAGAGGAUGAUCAGCCACACUGGGACUGAGACGCGGCCCAGACUCUUACGGGAGGCAGCAGUGGGGGAUAUUGGAAAAUGGGGGAGAGCAUGAUCCAGCAAUGCCGCGUGAGUGAUGAAGGCCUUAGGGUUGUAAAGCUCUUUUAUCCGGGAUGAUAAUGACGGUACCGGGAGAAUAAGCACCGGCUAACUUCGUG
rnacentral:rRNA from 1 species